rnacentral:rRNA from 1 species
AUGGCUUUUUUAUAUCCCAGAAAAAGUAUAUACAGGAUCUUCUUGCUCGUGCUGCUCUUACUGAUGAGCGCAUUUGAGAUUCCCAUGGAGCUCAAUGUUCACCUCCGUGAUACUGAUGGUGACCCCUUGCUUGACCCGACGCGUUAUCGUCAUCUUGUUAGGAGUCUUGUCUACCUAGCUGUCACUCGUCCGGAUAUCUCUUAUCCGGUUCAUAUUCUGAGUCAGUUUGUCUCCGUUCCCACUUCGGUUCACUAUAGUCACCUCCUUCGUGUUCUCCGAUAUCUUCGGGGCACGAUCUCUCACCGUCUAUUCUUUCCUCGCUCCAAUUCUUUACAACUUCAGGCCUAUUUGGAUGCUACGUGGGCUAGUGAUCCCUCCGAUCGCCGUUCACUUUCUGCUUAUUGUGUUUUUCUUGUUGGUUCUUUCAUUGCCUGGAAGACGAAGAAACAGACUGCAGUUUCCCGUUCGAGUGCAGAGGCUGAGUUACGAGCUAUUGCUCUUUUGACGGCAGAUGUGACUUGGUUACGGUGGUUACUUCAGGAUUUUGGUGUUUCUGUUACUACACCUACUCCGCUCUUGUCUGACAGUACAUGUGCUAUUAGCAUUGCGCGCGAUCCUGUGAAGCAUGAGCUCACCAAGCAUAUUGGUGUUGAUGCUCUCUAUGUGCGUGCUGGUGUGCAGGAUCAGGUUAUUGCUUCUCAGUAUGUGCCUUUUGAGUUACAGUUGGCGGAUUUUCUGACGAAGGCCCAGACUAGAGCGCAACAUGGCUUCUAUAUCUCCAAACUCAGUGUUGUUAAUCCACCAUGA